rnacentral:rRNA from 1 species
UGGAAGCGUCUGGAAAGGCGCGCGAUACAGGGUGACAGCCCCGUACACAAAAAUGCACAUACUGUGAGCUCGAUGAGUAGGGCGGGACACGUGGUAUCCUGUCUGAAUAUGGGGGGACCAUCCUCCAAGGCUAAAUACUCCUGACUGACCGAUAGUGAACCAGUACCGUGAGGGAAAGGCGAAAAGAACCCCGGCGAGGGGAGUGAAAAAGAACCUGAAACCGUGUACGUACAAGCAGUGGGAGCCUCUUAAUGGGGUGACUGCGUACCUUUUGUAUAAUGGGUCAGCGACUUAUAUUCUGUAGCAAGGUUAACCGAAUAGGGGAGCCGAAGGGAAACCGAGUCUUAACUGGGCGUUAAGUUGCAGGGUAUAGACCCGAAACCCGGUGAUCUAGCCAUGGGCAGGUUGAAGGUUGGGUAACACUAACUGGAGGACCGAACCGACUAAUGUUGAAAAAUUAGCGGAUGACUUGUGGCUGGGGGUGAAAGGCCAAUCAAACCGGGAGAUAGCUGGUUCUCCCCGAAAGCUAUUUAGGUAGCGCCUCGUGAAUUCAUCUCCGGGGGUAGAGCACUGUUUCGGCAAGGGGGUCAUCCCGACUUACCAACCCGAUGCAAACUGCGAAUACCGGAGAAUGUUAUCACGGGAGACACACGGCGGGUGCUAACGUCCGUCGUGAAGAGGGAAACAACCCAGACCGCCAGCUAAGGUCCCAAAGUCAUGGUUAAGUGGGAAACGAUGUGGGAAGGCCCAGACAGCCAGGAUGUUGGCUUAGAAGCAGCCAUCAUUUAAAGAAAGCGUAAUAGCUCACUGGUCGAGUCGGCCUGCGCGGAAGAUGUAACGGGGCUAAACCAUGCACCGAAGCUGCGGCAGCGACACUAUGUGUUGUUGGGUAGGGGAGCGUUCUGUAAGCCUGUGAAGGUGUACUGUGAGGUAUGCUGGAGGUAUCAGAAGUGCGAAUGCUGACAUAAGUAACGAUAAAGCGGGUGAAAAGCCCGCUCGCCGGAAGACCAAGGGUUCCUGUCCAACGUUAAUCGGGGCAGGGUGAGUCGACCCCUAAGGCGAGGCCGAAAGGCGUAGUCGAUGGGAAACAGGUUAAUAUUCCUGUACUUGGUGUUACUGCGAAGGGGGGACGGAGAAGGCUAUGUUGGCCGGGCGACGGUUGUCCCGGUUUAAGCGUGUAGGCUGGUUUUCCAGGCAAAUCCGGAAAAUCAAGGCUGAGGCGUGAUGACGAGGCACUACGGUGCUGAAGCAACAAAUGCCCUGCUUCCAGGAAAAGCCUCUAAGCAUCAGGUAACAUCAAAUCGUACCCCAAACCGACACAGGUGGUCAGGUAGAGAAUACCAAGGCGCUUGAGAGAACUCGGGUGAAGGAACUAGGCAAAAUGGUGCCGUAACUUCGGGAGAAGGCACGC